UACGUAGGGGGCAAGCGUUGCUCGGAAUCACUGGGCGUAAAGCGCACGUAGGCGGAUUGUUAAGUCAGGGGUGAAAUCCUGGAGCUCAACUCCAGAACUGCCUUUGAUACUGGCGAUCUUGAGUUCGGGAGAGGUGAGUGGAACUGCGAGUGUAGAGGUGAAAUUCGUAGAUAUUCGCAAGAACACCAGUGGCGAAGGCGGCUCACUGGCCCGAUACUGACGCUGAGGCACGAAAGCGUGGGGAGCAAACAGG
rnacentral:rRNA from 1 species